rnacentral:sRNA from 1 species
UUUACUUGUGGUUCAGGUUCCAAUGGCAGAUGGGGCACUGGCCAGAGGGGUUAGGAGGAUUUGGACUCUUCUUGGGAGUCGCUGUGAUACAGCCUUCAAUUAUAGUUGUCUUUCCUUCUUGGAUCUCCACCACGUCCCUGAACCUGCGAGCUGGAAGCUGAGAUCAGCUGGUCACUGCUGGGCCUGCUAGGAGCCCACAGGGAAGCUGCCCACAGCCAGACACCAGAGCCUCAAAGGCCGCCAUCUUGAAAAACCGACUCUGACCUCCACAAUGAUUGAUUUUCAAAUGUUGAACCAGCUUUGCAGAACUAUAAUAAACCCAAGUGUGAUACCCUGUCUCAAGUAUUGCAGUGAUCAAAUAGGACCAGUGACUUUUGAGGAUGUGGCUGUGCUUUUCAAUGAGGCAGAGUGGAAGAGACUUAGCCUUGAGCAGAGGAACCUAUACAAAGAAGUGAUGCUGGAAAAUCUCAGGAAUCUGGUCUCGUUGGCAGAAUCAAAGCCAGAAGUCCAUACCUGCCCUUCUUGCCCUCUGGCCUUUGGCAGUCAGCAAUUCCU